AAUCAACGCUGGCGGCGUGCCUCAGACAUGCAAGUCGAACGCGAAAGUCCCCUUCGGGGGGCGAGUAGAGUGGCGCACGGGUGAGUAACACGUAGGUAAUCUACCUUUGGAUGGGGAAUAACAACCGGAAACGGUUGCUAAUACCGCAUAAUGCAGCGGCACCUAAUGGUGACAGUUGUUAAAGCGGGGGAUCGAAAGACCUCGCGUCUGAAGAGGAGCCUGCGGCGGAUUAGCUAGUUGGAAGGUAACGGCUUACCAAGGCAACGAUCCGUAGCCGGCCUGAGAGGGCGGUCGGCCACACUGACACUGACAUACGGGUCAGACUCCUACGGGAGGCAGCAGUCGGGAAUUUUGGGCAAUGGGCGAAAGCCUGACCCAGCAACGCCGCGUGAAGGAUGAAAUCCC
rnacentral:rRNA from 1 species